GUAGGUAAACUCCUGUAAACAUGGCCCUAAGUUUUAGGGAUCUAGUUGGACAAAAUCUACGAGAAAUUGUAGUUGUAGACUGCGCUAACACUAAAGACAUUACGAAGACGAAAAAUAUGUUCGAGUGUGUGUGCCCAAAGGACAUGAGGGUGGCUGCCGUCAAUAGAUGCUUAGCAAAUAGCGAUCAUCCAUGUUGUUGGGAAGUACUAUAUGAUUAUAAACCCGAGACAAGAAAAACAUGUAGCUCAGAAGACGCGAAAGACGCUUUUGAGGAUAUCUUAAAAUUUCGACCAUUUAACGUUAGCGUAAAAAACAGCGAUAAACAAUUGAUCGGAUUUCCGUUGAAGUAUCGUGUACAGUUCACUGUUGACAAUUGUAAAUGCAAGAAGCUGGAUAUUGAAUUUUGUAAUUUUAUGAAAAACCUUAGUGUCUAGAAUAAUUAAUAAAGCAAGUAGACAUUAA